GACGAACGCUGGCGGCGCGCCUAACACAUGCCAGUCGAACGAGCGAGAGAGAGCUUGCUUUCUCGAGCGAGUGGCGAACGGGUGAGUAACGCGUGAGGAACCUGCCUCAAAGAGGGGGACAACAGUUGGAAACGACUGCUAAUACCGCAUAAGCCCACGACCCGGCAUCGGGUAGAGGGAAAAGGAGCAAUCCGCUUUGAGAUGGCCGCGCGUCCGAUUAGCUAGUUGGUGAGGUAACGGCCCACCAAGGCGACGAUCGGUAGCCGGACUGAGAGGUUGAACGGCCACAUUGGGACUGAGACACGGCCCAGACUCCUACGGGAGGCAGCAGUGGGGAAUAUUGCACAAUGGGGGAAACCCUGAUGCAGCGACGCCGCGUGGAGGAAGAAGGUCUUCGGAUUGUAAACUCCUGUUGUUGAGGAAGAUAAUGACGGUACUCAACAAGGAAGUGACGGCUAACUACGUG
rnacentral:rRNA from 1 species